rnacentral:rRNA from 1 species
AUUGAACGCUGGCGGCAGGCCUAACACAUGCAAGUCGAACGAGUGGCGGACGGGUGAGUAAUGUCUGGGAAACUGCCCGAUGGAGGGGGAUAACUACUGGAAACGGUAGCUAAUACCGCAUACCAUCGGAUGUGCCCAGAUGGUAUUCGCUAGUUGGUGGGGUAACGGCUCACCUAGGCGACGAUCCCUAGCUGGUCUGCGAGGAUGACCAGCAACACGGGAACUGAGACACGGUCCAGACUCCUACGGGAGGCAGCAGUGGGGAAUUUUGCACAAUGGGCGAAAGCCUGAUGCAGCCAUGCCGCGUGUAUGAAGAAGGCGUUCGGGUUGUAAAGUACUUUCAGCGAUGAGGCGUUACUCGCAGAAGAAGCACCGGCUAACUCCGUGCCAGCAGCCGCGGUAAUAC